AAAACAAGGUGGAAUUGGACUGGGUACUGCAUUCUUUUUUACUUGUGUAUAAUAGUCUGGCCAACAUCCUUACCUACAGCACAGCAUAUCUUGUCUUCAUUCUCUCCUACAAAUUCUGCAUCUGUUUUUUUUGCCUCUUGAAGCCUGCUCUGUUCUAUGUCUAACUAAGAUCUUUCCUCCUUCCCCUUAUCCCCAACGUGCAUACACAAUACUGCUGCAGCAGAGAAGUUACUUGGCAAAGUCCUUGGUGGGAGUGAAGUUCUCAAGUUUGAAGGACUUUGUU